ACUUGAAUCUAACAUUCUCAUCCCUAUCUAAUCCUUCUCCUGAUCUCCUCCAAGAAAUCUGUGUGCGCGUCUCUCUCUCUAAGCCUAGCGAAGAUGAUGCAUAUGACCUUAUACUGGGGCAUCGAGGUAACGCUCUUGUUUGAUUCUUGGAAAACCGAUUCAUGGCUGAGUUACUUCCUCUCCUUGCUCGCCUGCUUCCUCUUCUCCUCCUUCUACCAAUACAUGGAAGAUCGACGCAUCCGAUUUAAAGCCCUAGCUUCCUCUCGCUCCCUGCGAUCUUCUCUAGAUGUUCCGCUUUUGCGCUCCGAAGGUCGUUUAAGUCCCGCAAAUUUCGCGUGUGCUGUGCUGUUCGGGGUCAACUCGGCGAUCGGGUACCUACUGAUGUUGGCGAUAAUGUCUUUUAACGGCGGCGUAUUUUUGGCAAUUGUUUUGGGAUUAUCCGUUGGGUAUUUGUGGUUUAGAAGUGAAGACGAGGCGGUUGUAGUGGUGGAGGAUCCCUGUGCUUGUGCUUGAGAAAUUCCAAUUCAUUCUUAUACCCUCUUUGUUUAAAAAGUUGAAUUCCUGCAAUUCUGUUGUUUUAGCUUCAUAUCAUAGUGACUAUUGCAUGAUAGUGAAUUUGUUGUUGUUGGGUUUUCA
rnacentral:misc_RNA from 1 species